rnacentral:lncRNA from 1 species
CGGCGGCUUCGACAGUCCAAGGGUGGAACAUGUCGGUGACGAUGAAGUCUGGUCGGAGGUCGUGGAAGAGCUGUUCGAAGCAAGGUUGGAGAAUGGCGAGACCCAUGUAGAUUCUGGGGGCCAUCUCGGGAGGCGUGUCGACGUUGAACGCUUCGAUCCCCGGCGGAAGCCCCACUUGGGCGGCGGGGAAGUUAACCAAGUGCGUUCUGAUGGAGCGGCCGCGACUGGAGUCGAGGUCGACGGACUUCUGAAAAACGGUGGCGUUUCCCGGCGUGGUGAUUAUGGUAACGUCUAUGCCAUGAAUGGCGAAGAGCCUGGCCAUGUCCACCAGAGGAAUUAUGUGACUAGUUGACAGAAAAGGAAGGAAAACUGACUUUAGGUUUAGCUCACCCUCUUUCCCCAUUCUUAUGCUAAUUCUUAUUCUUCACAACAUAUUCUUCUUAUUCAUCCCUUCCUCUUAUUUAUAUGCUCGGGUUUUCACCCACCUUUUUUUUCAGUUUUCAUUAAAAUGGGAUAACUUUCAAAAAAAAAUUACAAAAAUUUGAACAAGUUUGAAUUUGUGUGAAGUUGACACGACUUCUCACACAUAAACCUUUAAAAUCGUGUCACGACACGAUUUUAUCCAUAUAUAUAUUAUUUUAUAUAUUUUUUAAAAUUUUCUUAUUUAGAUAUUGAAUAGUAAGUUAUGUAAUGUUUAAAAUUAAUUUGAUAGAUAAUUUUCUAAGGGUGUUAGUUUUAAGCAAUAAAAAAAAUGAAUAAUUGUGUAUGGAUCAUGUUUUACGGUAAUGUAAUAUAUUAAUUUGGUUAUUAGAUUAAUAAAAAAUAGGAAAAACAAAAAAAUGUUCAUAUUGCACAACCGAAUGUCACAAUAGAAGCAAUUGUCCGCACAAACAAACUUGAUAAUAAAAUUCAAUUUCAUGUUUGAUUAUUAAUUUCCUCAUUUUCUUUACCUAAGUAUUUAUUCUUUCAUAAAAAAAUUAUUUAUCAAAUUAAUUUCAAAUAUUACAUAACUUAUAAUUUUAAUUAUAAUUAAAUAAUUAUAAUAUAUAUAUAUAUAUUUAAAAACAAAAAAAAUUUUAAAAAAAAAUAAUGUGGACAAAGUUGUAUCAACUUGACACGAUUUCAAGUUGACGUAACAGAAAUCGUGCUAACUUGACACAACUUCAAACUGAUAUGACAAAGUUGUAUCAAUUUGGCACGACUUCAUAUGUAGAAGUCGUGCUAAGUUAACACGACUUGCUCCAGAUUUAUAAUUUUUUAACCGCGACCCAAUUUUGGUAAAAAAGAAAAAAAAGACCCCAUGAUAAAAAAAAAAAAAAAACCUAUAUCCUCUCAUUGUAAACACUGCAAUCUCUUCUUACAAACUAUCACGUUUAUUAAUUAAUAAGUAAACUUUUAACUCCAAUUCAAAAGUAACAAGAUAUGUCACUUCGUACUUAUGAAGCACGUGUCAAUCAAGGCCUUCUUUUAGAGUAUUAUAUUUUAUUCACCGUGUGCCUCGAGACUCUCGGGUACUUGGACCAUUCCCUCUAAGAAAGUUUUCUAAAAUCAUACAAAUAACAUACACUAAAAAAAUAAAUUUAUAAUCUUAUAUUUUUAUCCAUUAAAAAAUUAUAAUUUCAAUCACAUAUAUCACAUCAAUAACAAAUUUUUUAAUUUUUUUCCACAUUUUCCACUCUCUUUUCGUUGAUCUAAACAAUAUUUCUUUUACACUCUUCAAUCAUCUCUAUCGUAGAUUUUAAAAUAUUUAAAUAUAUUAAAUUGAUCUCUUUUUAAGUUAUUUUAUAUUUAAAUAUUUAAAUAUUCUGUAUUGAAUGGAUAAUUCAAAUUCAAUGAACUUUUAUAUUUUUAGAUAAAAUAUUUUAGUUACCAUCAAAUACAAUAAAUUAUUUAAAUGUUAAAUAAUUAUUAAAAAAAUUAAAGAUAUCUGUAGUUAGUUUAUAUUGUUUUUCUAUCAAAGUUCAUGGAAAUUUUCUUAAUUAAUAUCUAUUACAUUUUUUAUCUAUAAACAUAGUUCAUGUUGAUAUCAAUCAAGGUUACUUUUAUGUUGAUGAUUGGUGGGUUUUCGUAGACUGUUUUUUUUUUUCUCCGCUAAAAGAAUCCUCCCAAUUAAUAUUGAUAAAAACAAUGAGAUAAUGUUGGUCGAAAAGUUAUUUAAUGGUCAACAAAAACAGAUUCUAACAAUUUGGAUAGAAAAAGUUUAUUUUGAGAAGUAAAUAUCACAUUAGACUAAAAAUUAUUUUUCCUUUCAUCUUUGUAAUUAUUGUAAUAGGAAGAAAAUGACAUAUAUUAGAUGAUAAAUUUAUUUAUAUGUUAACCGAGAACAAUUAUCAUGAUACUGACAAGGUAUUGAUGAAUAUUGUGGUUGAUUCACGAAUCAGUGGAAGAUAUGGUAGAGGCAAAGGUCGCAGUUUUAAUGGACUAGGCGGAAGGGGAAAUAAUUCCCAUUUUUGUACGUAUUGUGGAAGAAAUAAUCAUAUAGUGGAUACAUGUUAUCAGAAACAUGGUUUUCCACGAGGUUACAAAUUCAAGCAAGGAGCAACAAAAUCUGCUCAUACGGCUGCAUCCGUUAAUUCUUAAGAAGAUGUUACUCCUUUCGAGGCUAAUCCACCCAAUUUUAACAUUCAGAUUUCUCAAGAACCGUACAACAGUUUAAUGGCUUUGAUCCAACAAUUAUCUUGUUAAACUCCUGCUUUGAAUCAUAUUUGUACGUCCCAAAUCAAUUCAGCCAAAUCAAGUAACUUUUCUAAUCAUUGAUUAUUAGACACAGGGCUACAGAUCAUAUAUGUUAUAAUAAAAAUAUUUUCUUCUCCAUUCAUAGUAUUUUGCAUGUCCUAGUCUCUUUACCUAACGAAAGUCAAUUAAGGGUUAACUAGUCUGGUACAACUCAAAUAUCUCCCUUACUCACUUUGACUGAUGUUUUGUAUGCAUCUUCAUUUCAUGUCAAAUUGAUUUAUAUUUCUAAAUUGACCACAAAUCACAAUUGUUUAACCAUUUUUCAACCUUUUAUUUCUUUCAUUAUUCAUACGUUGAUAUGUACAGCUGAGAGAUCACACAAACUUUAUCAAUUGAGGAAUUCUAGUAUCCAUCAGGUGUCACAAACAAAAAUUAGGAUGAGCAGACUUGAAAGUGAGAGUUCGUGUCUUCCAAAUAAGACUGCCGACAUCAACAAAUCUUGUGUAGAUAUUGAUAAUGCUAAACUUUGGCAUUUUCGUAUGGGACAUUUGUUUCAUGAUAGGUUGAAAAUUUUGUCUUCAUAUUACUCAAAUAUUUCCAUAGGUUCUAUUCAUCCUUGUGAUACAUGUCAUUUUGCUAAACAAAAACGACUAUAUUUUUCUUCUAGUCCUACUAAAUCAAAUUUUUUGAUUUGCUUCAUGCUGAUAUAUGGGGUCCUUUUAAUCAUGCUUCCUUUGAAGGGUAUAAGUAUUUUUUAACUCUUGUAGAUGAUUUUACCUGAUAUACAUGGAUUUGUUUAAUGAAAACUAAAGCUGAAACACGCACACAUUUACAAAAUUUCAUCAAUAUGAUUGAAAAUCAGUUUAAUAUUCAUUUGAAAGUAUUAAGAAGUGAUAAUGGUCCUGAGUUCCUUAUGACUGAUAUCUUUAAUAGAAAAGGGAUUGUUCAUCAAACUAGUUGUGUGGAAACUCCACAACAGAAUAAUGUUGUUGAACGCAAACAUCAACAUAUUUUGAAUGUCGCUCGUGCACUGAUUUUUCAGUCUCAAUUACCUCUUUGAUUUUGGUCAUAUGUUGUCAAGCACUCUGUUCAUUUAAUUAAUAAAACUCCUACUCCUCUUUUACAUGAUAAAUCACCAUAUCAAAUGGUUUAUAAUUACAUACCAAAUUUAUCUCAUAUAAAUUUUUUUGAUUGUUUGGAUUUCGCUACUACUAGUAGUGUUCAAAGAACAAAGCUUAAUUAUAGAGCUAGAAAAUGUGUUUUUCUCGGUUACAAAGAUGGGGUAAAAAGUUUUACUCUUUUUUAUAUGAAUCAGAAAAAUAUUUUUGUGACACGUGAUGUUAUUUUUUAUGAAAAACAUUUUCCUUUUUAUAAGGAUAACAUAGAUACCAAUUUGGACACACAUGAUAUGUUUAAGCAUUUGCUUCCUUCUGUUUCUGAUAAUGAUAUUGUUGUGCCUAACUACAUCUGUUAGUGAUAUUGUUUCUUCAGUUUUUGAAACUAUAUUACCAUCCUGCCUUCCUGCUAUUGAUUCUUCUACACCACUACAUUUAAUUGAUAUUGAUGUCUUGCAACACCAACAUUCUGAUCCACAACCUUCAUCUAUUUGAGUUUCUACUCGCUCAAACAAAAACCUGGAUACUUGAAGGACUACCACACUACUUUCUUCUCUUCAAAAGAUGUUAUCAAUCAUUCUUUAGGUACUAAAUAUCCUAUUCAAAAGUAUCCCUCUUAACAUAAUUGUUCUCCUAUAUAUUCUUCUUUUUGUCAUAAUAUUUCUUCUAUCUAAGAACCUAAAUCAUUUAAAGAGGUGAUGCAACAUGAUUAUUGAAAAGGAGCUAUGCAACGUGAACUUGAUGUUCUUUAGUCUAAUGAAACAUGGCAUUUGAUGGAUUUGCCUCUUGGAAAGCAUCCUAUUGGGUGUAAAUGGGUUUUCAAAGCCAAGCAUAAACCAAACGGUGUCAUUAGGUACAAGACUCAUUUGGUUGCCAAAGGAUAUACUCAGACCGAAGGUAUUGAGUAUUUUGAGACUUUGUCUCCGAUAGUUAAAAUUACUACCAUUCGAUUUAUUUUUUCUUUAGCAAGUGCUAAGGGAUGGAUUCUUCAUCAACUAGAUGUGAAUAAUGUUUUUCUUCAUGGCGAUCUUGAUGAAUAAAUUUACAUGACUCCUCCCACAAAUCUUACUCUCUCUCAUCCAACGCAAGUUUGUAAACUUAGAAAAUCUUUAUAUGGACUAAAGCAGGCGAGUCGACAAUAGACUCAAAACUAACUCAGACUAUAAUACAACUUGGUUAUGUUCAAAGUACAACUGAUAAUUCUUUAUUUAUUCGCACAGACAAUCAUUAUUUCACCGCUCUGUUGAUAUAUGUUGACGACAUUAUGUUGGUUGACAAUAAUCUUCAAGAAAUCCAACUUGUUAAAACUCAUCUUCAUAACUCAUUUAGUAUCAAAGAUCUCGGUACUCUUCGCUAUUUCUUGGGAUUUGAGAUAAGUCGUUCACCUUCUAGUAUUAUUCUCAAUCAACAAAAAUAUUAUUUAGAUCUUUUUCUGAUAGUGGUUUAUUGGCUUGUAAACUCGCAUCUUCUACCAUGGAACCAUCUUAUCCUUUCUCCGGAGCUGAAGGUUCAUUACUUUUGAAUCUAGGUGAAUAUAGAAGAUUGACUGGGCGUUUUUUAUAUAUACCUUACUCACUUUAGGCCUGAUAUCAAUUUUGCGGUUCAUAAACUCAGUUAGUUUAUUUCAAAUCCACGAGAACCUCAUAUGACAGCAACUCUUCGUGUAUUACAAUAUUAUAAAAGGAUGUCUUGGUCUUGGUCUAUUCUUUUCCAGUACUAAUCAAAUUGUUAUUAAAACUUUUUCUGAUUCAAAUUAGGGAACUUGCAUUGAUUCUAAAAGGUUUAUCACUAGUUAUUGUGUAUUUAUGGGAAACUCUUUAAUUUCAUGGAAGUCUAAAAAGUAGUCUACAGUGUCCAUAUCUUCUUCAGAGGGUGAAUAUAGAGCACUAGCUUCACUUGUUUGUGAACUUCAAUGGUUACAAUAUUUGUGUCAUGAUUUGCAUACUAAUAUUUCUGAAUCGUUUGUUAUCUAUUGUGACAAUAAAUCUGCUAUAUGCAUAGCAAAGAAUCCCAUGUUUCAUGAGAGGACGAAACAUAUUGAAAUUGAUUGUCAUUUCUUUCGGACUAAACUUCAAGAAGGUCUCAUUCAUUGAAUCUCAGUUUCUUCCACAAAACAAGUGACUGAUAUGUUGACCGAACCUCUCCACGAACAUGAAAUAUAUACAUGAUACAACUUGUGGGGCGCUAUUAGAUGAUAUAAUAUCUUAGAUUUUGAAUUUUAGCUACUCUUUCAGUUAUCAUUUGUAACCACUACGCCAAAAAUUUGAAUUAGCUGCAAAAAAAAUCAAAGGUGGUAUGUGGACUCUAAAUUUAGUCAACUAAGCCUUCACUAUUUAAAAAAAGCGUGGGAAAGCAUGGGAAAGCGUGGGUUAUACCCACGUAAAUUUUAAAAAUAAAAAUAAAAAAAUGGUUGUGUGGGUAAAACGGUCACUACCAAAAAUAUAAAUAAUAAUAAUAAUUUAACAAUUUGAAAGUUAAGCCCACGCUAUCUAUUUUAGAAUUAAUUUUAAAUAAAUAAAGAAAUUGUGUAGGUUAAACUCACACUAUCUAUUUUAAAAUUAAUUUUAAAUAAAUAAAGAAAAUGUGAAGGUUAAGUCUAUGCAAAGAAUUAAGUUUAAUUUAUUUGAAAUGUGCUCAGGGGCGUGGAGAAAAGAGUGAAAGCAUUUUGAAGUUUUCAUCGAAGUCGUCAAGUGCGACCUUGAGCAGAAUAGAGCGUGGGAAGAGUUUGUGAGAACGCGAGAAUAUGUGCGACCGUGAGAACGCGAGAUCACCUGAACGCGUGCGACCAUGUGAACUUGAGAACGAGAGUACGCGACCGUGAUGGAGUAGUCGAGAGCGUUACUAAAAUCGUGAAGAAUAACCCUAUGUUUUAUUCCGAUUUCUUUCUUUCUGUGUGUAAUUUUAUUUUUGAAGGUGUAGCCCUAACGAUUUCAUAAUGAUUUUAUUUUCUCAUCGAGUAAUAAAUAAACAAUAAAAUGAGGUUUUGAUAGGAAAGAUCUAUAUUAUCUCAUCACACUAAAAUGAAAACAAAGCUAUGUUCAAGGGGUUAUGUGAUUGAUAACAAAAAAAACCUAUGCUAAAUGAAAACAGAGACAAGCUGCCUCUAUUAUUUUAAUGCAUGAUGAGCUUUACAUCACACGCCAGAUUCUCUAUUAAUUAAUCACAUUUUGCUUUGGUCCAGCUCUUGUUUUAGUUAAAUCAUUUAAGUGCAACCAUUUCUAUCAAAGUUUUAUUUUGUUAAAUCAUUUAGGUGCAGCCAUAUUUUUCUACCUAUGACAAGUACUGUAUAUUUUUUAUUGUUAAAUCAUCAAAGUCCAAUACUGUCACAGCUGGCAAAUACUGUCACAAGGUGUCAAAACUGUAGCAUUUUAUUUCUUAUGUGUAGUGUGCGCUAGACAGAAAAAAAAUUAAAAUAUAAUUUUAUGUGGUUAAUGUGAAGGCUUAAUCCAUGUUUUUUUUUAAAAAAUUGUGGGCAAAACAUGUAUGUUAAGUGCUGGGAUGCUUAAAAAUUAUGUGGAUCCCAUAUUUUAGUAUAAAAAUAUAUUUUGUGUGGGUAACAUGUAGGCUAACUACACGUGUUUUUUUAAAUUGUGUGGCAAAUGGAUAGACUAAGCCCAUGCUUCUUUAGAUGACAAUAUAAAUAUAAUUUUGUGGGGCGCAUGUGAAGGCUAAGCUCAAGCAUAUUUAAAAAUUGUGUGGUCAUUGUGUUGGCUUAGUCCACGCUUUUUUCAAUAAAAAAAUAUAUAAUAUAAUUUUGUGUGUGAAGCAUGUAGACUAGACCUUACAAAAAAUGGUAUUCCACGCAUCUCUACUACUUUUUACGUUAAAUAUAUUAGCUUCCAAAUUUAAAUAAACUCUAACCACACAAUAAUUAAAUUUUUGCGAACAUUUCUCAUGCAUAAUAUCCGUUUUGGUACAUUCUAAUAAUAAAUGUAUUUCUUGUAGUGAAGUGUUAAAUUUCUAAAUUAGAUGUAUAAAAGUAAUACCACACCAUAAGAGGGCUCAUUUGGAUAAGAGAACAACUCAUAUUCUCAACCAUAACAAAGCCAUCUACUCAGAGUAAUUUUUUAAGAAUUUCAAUUCUUAAAAUUAUUUAAUUUUAGCCUAUUUUCUCAUAAAAGUGGUGGUCUCAAGGAGUGGAUGAGGUUUGGUGAGCUUUGGAAAGUUUGAUCUGGUUGAGUUCCCGAAUGAGUUCCUUCAUGUUGUUGUGCGAAGAGCCACCAUUUUGUAUAGCCCUCUUUGCAGCAUCGCUUAACGUCUUCGCUCUUCUCCUCAGUUCUUCACUCUCCUCGCUCAUCAUCACACCAAUCGCGUUUCCAAUGUCUUCUCGUUUCACAACUUCACUCCCAAACUGGUUCCAGUUUCUCCACUCUUUGGCCCCCACUGACACUCCAAUUUUCAGCACAUCCACCACCAGCUUCUCAUUGUAAAACUGCUCCGCAAACAGAGGCCACGUCACCAUCGGCAACCCCGCGUUCACGCUUUCCACCACCGUGUUCCAACCACAGUGAGUAACCAAUCCUCCAAUCGCAGGAUUCUCUAGUAUCAGCAAUUGCGGCGCCCAACCCCAUAUCAGGUACCCUUUCUUGCUUUCCUUCACUUUCUUCUCAAACUCUUCCAAAAACUUUUCUCCUUCUCCAACCCCAUCGUUUUUCCUCACCACCCAAAUGAAAUCUUUCCCUGAAUCUUCAAGCGCAUGCGCGAUUUCAACAAGUUGGGAGUACGGAAACUUGUUCAUGCUCCCAAAACUCACAUACAAAACAGAACUCUUUGCCUUAGUGUUGAGCCACUUAUGCCACCCUUCUUCUUCUUCUUCGUCUUCCUCUUUAGCGUACCCUCGUGCAGCCUUAUCCGAAGCAUCCUGGUUCGCCCACAACGAAACCGGUCCAAUUCCCCAACUCUUGGUCCCCAUCACGCCCUUGUAGUGCUCGUAGUAAGCACUCUCGAGGUCGUAGAAACUGUUGAACAGAGAUCCGUAGCUCUUUUUUUCCGACUCCUUAAUCGUCUUCAUCAACUCCGUGUACUGGUUCGGAGAUCUGAGCCAAUCCGGCAACUGCAACCGCGUCAUCUCCAACCUUUCGGGCAACCCAGGUAACACAAACCUGUCGCUGUCGGAUUUCGCCGCAAGAUGGGGUGCGUACUGCUCCACCGCGUGCGCAGCGGAGCGAGCGAGAUAACUUGCGCCGUGAAACAUGAUCCUGGGAAUUCGGAGCUUGGCGGCGGCUUCGACAGUCCAAGGAUGGAACAUGUCGGUGACGAUGAAGUCUGGUCGGAGGUCGUGGAAGAGCUGUUCGAAGCAAGGUUGGAGAAUGGCGAGACCCAUGUAGAUUCUGGGGGCCAUCUCGGGAGGCGUGUCGACGUUGAACGCUUCGAUCCCCGGCGGAAGCCCCACUUGGGCGGCGGGGAAGUUAACCAAGUGCGUUCUGAUGGAGCGGCCGCGACUGGAAUCGAGGUCGACGGACUUCUGAAAAACGGUGGCGUUUCCCGGCGUGGUGAUUAUGGUAACGUCUAUGCCAUGAAUGGCGAAGAGCCUGGCCAUGUCCACCAGAGGAAUUAUGUGACUAGUUGACAGAAAAGGAAGGAAAACUGACUUUAGGUUUAGCUCACCCUCUUUCCCCAUUCUUAUGCUAAUUCUUAUUCUUCACGACAUAUUCUUCUUCUUCAUCCCUUCUUCCUAUUUAUAUACUCUCAUUCUAAACAGUGCAAUCUCUUCUUAAGAGAAAAAAAAAAAAUUAUGAUUUUACUAAUUAUAGGGGAUGGAUUUAUAUGAUGAGAUUAAUGAUUGCACGAUUAAACAUAGUUAUGCUGAAGCUGUGAAGCACGAGUGAAUCGAGGCUUUCUUUUAGAAUAUUAUAUGUCACCGUGUGCCUCGAGCCUCUAAUGGGUACUUGGGCCUUUACUUGGGUUAAAUUUUCCUGUUUUGGUGAACACCACCAUUUUUAAAAUACUGAGCAUAUCAUAACCAUGUGCUGUAAUCAUAUGCGUGUAGAUGUAGAUGAUGGUGGCUCUGACAAAAUAGAU